GGGAUUAGCUAGUAGGUAGGGUAAUGGCUUACCUAGGCGACGAUCCCUAGCUGGUCUGAGAGGAUGACCAGCCACACUGGAACUGAGACACGGUCCAGACUCCUACGGGAGGCAGCAGUGGGGAAUAUUGCACAAUGGGCGCAAGCCUGAUGCAGCCAUGCCGCGUGUAUGAAGAAGGCCUUCGGGUUGUAAAGUACUUUCAGUCAGGAGGAAGGGUGUGAAAUUAAUACUUUCAUGCAUUGACGUUACUGACAGAAGAAGCACCGGCUAACUCCGUGCCAGCAGCCGCGGUAAUACGGAGGGUGCAAGCGUUAAUCGGAAUUACUGGGCGUAAAGCGCACGCAGGCGGUUUGUUAAGUCAGAUGUGAAAUCCCCGGGCUCAACCUGGGAACUGCAUUUGAAACUGGNAAGCUU
rnacentral:rRNA from 1 species